rnacentral:misc_RNA from 1 species
AUGAAGCCACGCUUCCUUCAUCACUGAUAUUUGAUGACAUUCCUUUGGAGUCUGACAUUCAUGCCUCCUCUUCCUUACGGAAGAUAUUCAUUGCAUCGCUGUAUAAAGCAACAGAAUUGGAGAGGACAGCAAGCACGAUCAUGGUUACAGCCAAGAUCUUGUCACGCUUGGAUGCGAUUCCAUAAGGAUCCCUAAGUAUAACCAUGGCAGGGAAGAUGAAACCAAUCAGGACAGCAGCAGUUGCACCAGUAAAUUGGAAGACAUCCCAGAUGCUGGGAAUGAAAUUUGCCCCCAAGAAAAGGAGAGUAAUAAGCGAGACUGUGAUCAGCGAAAAUCUCAAGUUGUCUCGGAGCAAUGGUCGAGCAGAUGGAAA